UACGGGGGGAGCAAGCGUUGUUCGGAUUUACUGGGCGUAAAGGGCGCGUAGGCGGCAGCACAAGUCAGUUGUGAAAUCUCCGGGCUUAACUCGGAAAGGUCAACUGAUACUGUGCGACUAGAGUGCAGAAGGGGCAACUGGAAUUCUCGGUGUAGCGGUGAAAUGCGUAGAUAUCGAGAGGAACACCUGCGGCGAAGGCGGGUUGCUGGGCUGACACUGACGCUGAGGCGCGACAGCCAGGGGAGCGAACGGG
rnacentral:rRNA from 1 species